AGCUAGUUAAAAAAAAGAAGCAUACCUGCUCUCUUUUGGGUUGAAAAUAGAUGGCAGCAGCAGAAGCUAGUGAGAAGAAACACUUAGAAGAACACUGCAACAAUCCAAGUCAGGGUAUUAGACCAGCAUUGCAGCAGCAGAUAUGAUGAAAAGACAUUGUAUAUCAGUUAAAUUUUGAAGGUAUCAUUAGUAGGAUUUUCUACAGUAUUAGAUAUGGAAGAUAACAGAAUGAAAUAAAUGAAGAUUGACUGCUUGGUUUAUGGCCUGGACAAUUAGAAGGAUAGAGCUGACAUUAACUGAGAUGGGGCAAGUUGAGAAAAGACAGGAGUGAAAAUUAGUAGUUAAAAUUUGGACAUGUUACUUUUGACAUGUUUAUUCAAGUAGAAAUUUAGAAUAGUCGGAUGUAUGUUUGGAUUAUUAGAUAGAGGUGAAAGUGGGAGGCAUAAAAUCAGAAAAUUUCAUUCUAUAUCUUAGAUACAGAUAUAGAUAUAGAUAUGUAUAGUCACAUGGAAAAUUGGUAAGAAUAUCGAAGACCUGAAUUUAACUAGAAAAGAAAAAGCCUGGACAACUCUAAAACAGAGAGCGAGAAAAGAAGAGAAAGAACCAGUAAAGAAGACUGGGUAAAGUGAAAGAACAACCAACAGAAUAAAGAAUCCGGGAGGCUAAUUAUGAUACUUGUGCCAAACUGAAAGGAAUGAUCAAUAUCCACCACUGACUAAGAGUGAAUACCUGAAAGUGCUACUUCAGUUCUAUUUAACUGCAUUUUCUUCAGUUAGAUGACAUUUCAUUUGAGAGUAUCACCUUAUCUGUGGGGGAUACAUUUUAUAAGUGGAUGCCUGAAACUGUGGAGAGUACUGAACCCUGUAUAUAUUAUGUUUUUUCCUAUAUGUACCUUCCUAUGGCAAAGUUUAAUUAAUAAAUUAAGCACAAUAAGUGAUAAGCAACAAUAACUAAUGAUAAAAUUGAACAAUUAUAACCAUAUACCGUAACAAAAGUUAUUUGAAUGGUCUCUCUCUCUCAAAAUAUCUUGUUGUUAUUUACUGUGGGUAAUUAAAAUCUCAGAAAGUGAAACCAUGAUUAAGGGGGAACUACUGUAGAACAUUGAUUGUAGAUUCACAGGCUCUGUAUUCACAGAGACUAAUCAGAGAGAGAGAUUUGUAAUUACUUAUUUUCUAUACGACUCUGGGAGAAUAUUAUUUCAACCAUGAUGUUCUCAUUUUUAGAAAAUGUUAUAUUUUGUGUGCCUUUUAGAUUUCAAGUAAUGUAAAACUCACAGCUUGUCCUCUGGCCAUAUGAACUGUCUUAGGAAAAAAUAGGAUUUGUUUUCAUAAAUUAUCUUCUUUUCAUUGAUAAAUGCCCAUCUGUAAAAAUAACUUCUUAAUGUAGGAGGCUGAUCAUUGAAUAUUUACAACAAACAGGCCAUGUAAUCCUAGAAAUUAUGAAUUGAAAAACAACCUUAAAGAUUUUACAAUCCUAACACGAUUCUGAAAAUAAUUGUUUUAAAUUAAUUAAAAACAAUAAUUGUUUUUAUCAUAAAAGUAUGACUACAGUAUAUUUUGAUAUAUGCUUACAUCAUAAAAUUAUUAAAUCUAAUUAACAAAUUCAUCACCUCACAUACUUAUGUUUUUGUUUUUGUGGUGUGAACUUUUACAAGGAUGUGGAUGGAGAUGGGAGAUAUUCAUCAAGGAAUGCAAAAUUUUAUUUAUUCAGGAGUAAUAAUCUUCAGUGGUCUUUUGCCCCGCAUGGUGACUAUAAUAAAUAAUAAACUAUAUAUUCAAAAUUACCAAGAAAGUAAAUUUUAAAUAAAACUGGAGUUUUAACUAGCUUAUCCCUGCUAUAUUGACUUACAUCAUACACUUUACAAUUCCCAUUUACAUCCUGCCCCCACCUAUUUCCUCAGCAUUCCAUUUUAUCUUUGAAUUAUUUGACUAUUUAAAUUAUGUGUUUAAAUCAUAGCCAAAAUUAGAAAUGUUUCAUAUUUUACACCUCUUUUGCAAGCUCAGCAUCAAAAUAAUUGUCACAUGUAGUCUUCCCAUCUCUGAAAUAUCUUCUCAAGAUAUCUGUCUUCAUCUCUAUGGCUACAUCAUAUCUUUUCCUUCAUCUUAUCUUCUCUGGACCACCAGAGCAAUCUUCUAAUCAUGCUACCUCCACUCUUGCUCUACUCCAAGCAAUUUUUCGUACUAAAGAGGGUGAUUUUUCCACAUCACAAAUGUAGUCAUAUUACAAUCUAGAUUAAAAGUCUUCAAGUCACAGCAUUUAAGAACUAUAAACCUGAAGUCAUAAAAACCAGGGUUAGCAUCAUGCACAUUUUGGUGUUAUAUUGGCCUGUAGUUUGAUUGUUUGUUUUUACAUUUAAGUUUAUUUUAUUGAAAGAGUAUAAUUUUUUAAAUCUUUAUUUUAUUAUUAUUGUAAUUGCUUGAAUUUUAUAGCCUUAUUUAUACAUCCUGGAUAAUCUGGCCCUGAAUUCCAGAGGCAUCUCUGCCUCUUUUCCCUCUUGCUGUAUAUUCUAUACAAAGCAAUUGUUUUGUUUUGUCUUUAUGUCUCAGAAGGCCUGUUCCAGCUUUUAAGCCUGAUGUUUGCAGCUGUUUCCCUCACCUUUUUACACCUUUACCUUCUUUUUUGUAUUUUCCUCUAACUAAGUAUUUGUCAUAUCUCAUUUUACAAUUUCCUCCUUAGGGAGGCCUUUCCUGACUCACUAGAUUAGGAUGGAUGAGCCUGCUCUUGACUUACAUAGCACACUUCAUUCCCUAUCAUGAUACUCAUCACAUUUGAUGUAAUUGUUUACCAUGCCCACUAAGCUGUAAAAUACAUAAGGGAAAGACAGAUAUUCUUCUAUUAAGUCACUCAAUAUAUAUUUCUUGAAGAUCAUAAAUAUUUCCUCUUUUUAACACUUUUUCACAUAAAUACAAUUAGAAAAAUCAGAUCAUAAAUAAAACUUGCCUUUUUAACAUAAAUUACAUCUUAUAAAUCUCUAUGUGUCAAUAUUUUUAAUGACUAUCUUUUUGAAAUGCCUUUUUCAAACCAUUUAUAAUUAAUAUUUUUGUACCUUUAUCUUUGCAUUACUUGUCAUUUUAUUCUAAGAGGAUGGAAAGAAAAAAUAUAUAAUUUGAUGAAAGGAAACAAAUAGCAAGAGAUGAAAAAGGUGGACAAGUAGAGAAUGUUAUGUAUUAUAAGCCCAAUUACAUUACUUUUUAAACAUGCUCUUAUUUUUCAACAAUAUUAUUUUAGUUUGCCUUGAUGUACUUUUUUUGUGUUUUUAGAAAUUUGAGAAAUUAAACAAGUACAUACAGAACAAACUAAAAAUUUAAAAUAAAUCUGUAAUGGU